rnacentral:sRNA from 1 species
GUGUUUAUGCCAUCAGUUAGUCUGUAUUGAUUCAGGGCGUAUUUUGUGCAGGUGGGGACCCUGGGAAGUUAGCAGUAAUGGAGACAAGUGUGGAAUGCUCUCCAGGUAUUAACACCACUGCCACCGCCACCCCGGCCAUAGAACACUGCACAGGGAGAAGGCAACAGAGCAAAACAAGCAUAUUGCAUUUCUCCAGCUGCUCCAGAAGUCCUUGAGACAAGAACCAUGUAAUCCCAUAGUGGCAGCAGUAACAACAACGGCAACAGCAGCCUGGAGAGCACUGAAGUACUUAAAGCUCUGAGGGAAGCCAGUCUUCCCUCCACUAGAGAAGCUGUGGUCCCAAGAGGGUGGGACAAAAUACCAUUCCCUUUUCUCUCUCUCUGUUCAUACACUGCCUGGUGGGACAGACUCAAGUAUAGUCAUGAGAUGUAUGCAGCAAGGUAGGAAAACUAAAAACCUAGCUUUCUACCCAGAGGACAAAAAAAAUGGGGCUUCAGGGGGCCAAAAAUGCCAGAAUAAUCUCAGAAAGAAGACAGCUCAAGAGAGCAGUUCCAUAUUAACUCCAAGGCUUACUUCUAAGCUGCACAUGGUGUGAGAACUGAACUGUGCAUGAGACUGUGAUCCAGGCCACCAAAUGGCCACUGGGCAACAUACACACAACAGAUUCCCAUAGCACUGCAAAGGCUUUGAAAACUGAACUGAUAUUAGAACCACAGUCCACAAGAGAACUCGAGUCUGGAGCCUAAUUAGAUUGAUUGCCUGCAAAAACAAAACAAAACAAAA